rnacentral:rRNA from 1 species
GUGGGGAAUCUUCCGCAAUGGGCGAAAGCCUGACGGAGCAACGCCGCGUGAGUGAUGACGGCCUUCGGGUUGUAAAGCUCUGUUAUAUGGGACGAACGGGCAUGGGGCGAAUACCCUCAUGCAGUGACGGUACCGUAAGAGAAAGCCACGGCUAACUACGUGCCAGCAGCCGCGGUAAUACGUAGGUGGCAAGCGUUGUCCGGAAUUAUUGGGCGUAAAGGGCGUGUAGGCGGCCAGACAAGUCUGUCUUAAAAGUGCGGGGCGCAACCCCGUGAUGGGAUGGAAACUGUCGGGCUAGAGUGUCGGAGAGGAAAGCGGAAUUCCUAGUGUAGCGGUGAAAUGCGUAGAUAUUAGGAGGAACACCAGUGGCGAAAGCGGCUUUCUGGACGACAACUGACGCUGAGGCGCGAAAGCCAGGGGAGCAAACGGGAUUAGAAACCCCAGUAGUCC